CAGCGAGUCCAGCAGCUGCAGCCACUCCUGCAGGCUCCAGGUGGCGCUGUAAUCCCCCCUGUGAGGAGGCUCCUGCCCACACAGACUAUCCACCACCCUGUGGCACAGCUAAACACAAGGAAAUACUGGUUUGCCACAGGAGAUCAUCUGCCUCGGUUUCACCCCAUCCCUAACCUAACCUCUUCCUCUUAGGUCUUUCUGUUUUCCUCUUUGGUAGUGUGUCAUCAGUCACAGUAAGUAAAAGAAGGAAAUGCCCUUCAUUUUCUUUGCACUAAUAAACACUGCCAUCUGUAAGCUGCAAUCACCAAUGAUUUUUAUUUUUUUUAUACUCAGACAUAUCAUUAUUGCAAA